UAACCAUUCUAUACGUGGCACCGAUUUAGUCCCGCCGAGUACGGCAGUGGAACAGCUUCCGUUCUUCAAUCGCAACCGUUGAUCCAAUUAAAACUAAUCCGACUGCUUGUGUUGUUACGUAUGUUUUAGUCGUGGCCAUUGUUUCAAUCAACGGCUACGGAUUAUAUUGGGAAGGAAAAGUAUACAUUGUCAGUGACUUGACAAGUUGCAGCCUACAUAGUAGGUGUAGAGGUGUAGAGAGAAAGUUUUAGAGUUCUUAUUGACUACUUCGAUAAUGGUGAGAAUCGGUUGUCAUUCUCUCCUUCUACACUACAUCUGCCCUCCUCUAAAGUCCCUCUUUAACUCGUUCAAAAUAAACUAUAUUUGGCCCCCUUUUUCUUCAUUUCAGUCCUUCCCCGAUAUUUCUUUCCUAUUAUUUUGUUGUUGGUGGAGACAAUUGCACUACGGGCAAGCUCCUCUGGAACUUUGGGAGAUAUUUCCAGUGAAAACUAGGGAGCUUUGAUCGCACCCAGGCACAAUGAUUUUUUAUUACUAGAUGUCUUAUGAUACAUUUUGUUUACAAUUUUUUUUUCCGUAUCUCUGUUUUGAUUACGGCUGAGGCAUUGCUUGCCCCAAUAUACCAAGUACGAAAUUUGAUUAGGGUUAAGCCAUUGUUUUUCCCCAAUAUGCGCCUUUUGCUUGCCAUCAUUCAUAUUCUUUGCCAUGAUUCCCUUAUGUGACUUAAUUAAUAACCAGCAAGAAUAAUUCUCUCAUUACUUUCUUUUUGUCUUCUAUUUCAUUAUUAGGAAACUCUAUAAUCGCGGCUUGAAUAAAUUUGUAAAUGUUAUUCUGUUCUUUAUUGAUUAAUUGAUACAUCACUCGUAUUUUGAUUUGAUUAUCCAACCCAGCAACCCCACAGUCGGAGUAAGUAUCUCAUUAAAACUUUUUCUUGACAUAUUCAUUUCCAAUAUUUUUCAAGACAAAUUGAUCCAACAUUCUUUACUAAUUAGUUGCAUUGUGGUAUCGGUUACUCCAUUGUAGUUUAAGAUUGGUAUUAUAUAUAUUAAAUAAUUGGUUUCUGACAAUUUUUUUUUAUUUUGUUGUUGCUACUCGAAAUUUAUAUACAGGAACCACUAUAAUGCAUUUUUUUUUUACUUUGGUGUAUUUUUUUCUAUUUUUGACACUUGGAUAGAUAUAAUCUAAAAAAAUUUUAUACGACGGUGUACAUUGUAGGUAUUUAGAAUAUUCUACAAUUUUUCAAGAAAUUCUGAAUAGUUUACAAAGCCAAAAACAGAGUUCAAACUGUCAAAUUUUACCCGCAUACACAAAAAAAUAGGCCCGCGUGCAACAGAUAGUUUAGACUCUGUUUCAGUACCGUAAUUUAUUCAGAAUUUCUUGAAAAUUUGUAUGAUGUUCUAGAUAGCUAUAAUGUACACCAUCAUAUAAAAAAAAAAUUGGAUUAUAACUAUUUAGGUGUCAAAAUAGAAAAAUAAUGCACUGGUAUUGCAAAAAAAUGAUCCGUUAUAAUCGCUCCCUAUAUAUAUAUAUAUAUAUAUCUUAGUGGUUUUUUAUAACAAUAAUAUUAAUGAUGAAGUACAAGAUUCGAGAAGAAGUAGUGUGUUGCAUAUUGAUAUAUAGUUACUUGUAUGAAACAAAUGACAUUUGAAGUCUUUGUAAUUGGUUUUAGUUUGAGUGGAUUAUUUUGGUUGUGUAGAUAAUUGUAUUCUAUUUCAAGUAAUUUUUUUGUAUUGGUACAAAUAUUAUGUUCAAUUUAUUAAGUGUGCUUUUUGUGUUGUGUAGAAAACUAUAUAGGUCACUGAAAAUGAGGAAAAAAUAUGGCGGGGUUUCGAAGAAGGUCUCUGAAACCAAGAGUAAUGAGAAGAUGGAAAAACUAAUUUUGGAGGGUGUACGCUCUAAAUAUCCACGGGUUAUUAGCGAGCUGGAAAAUGACAUAAUCCUAUCAGCCACGUGGAAGCCACCUACCCGGAGCUGCUGUUACGAGUCUCUACCUCUUUAGCUCGAGGUAGCCAAAAGUUUAGUAAGGAUACUCAAAGGCAUUGGGUCAGCCGUGUGGACACCACGAGCUGAGACUACAUCAAGCUCGAGGUACGACCUGGAGCUGACACCUCCGUCCCUUUAUAAAGUCAAUCACGCAAUGUAAACGUGCGCAUAUUAGACAUCGCGUGUCUACUCCAUUCCUGAAUUCUCAGACACACAGCAUAAACGUGCGUGCUCAGACACUCCUCGACUGGUUUGGGUCAUAUGGCCCAUUAUCCCCCUUACCUAUUGAUUAGACCACACUUCAUUGUCAAGUUUUAGGAAUUAAUCAUGAAUGUCACAGAAGUGACAUGAUGGGUAAGAAGGUCAUGUGAUGACCCCUUUUUCCAACACUCAGGUGUCCUCUCCCUAUAAAUAUGGAGACCCUGGACAUUGCAAAUGGUUGACUUCUAAUUUGUAAAGAAACACCCUGUAAGGAAUAUCAGAGAUAUAUCAAUAAUAUUGACUGAUGGACUAGAGAGAUUUUAACCUCCGAA